AUCAUUGGCCAGUCUGAGGAGAGGUGUCUUAUGAUGCGCGUGCACGUGACUUCAUCGUUUUUAUAUUUUUCUUCUUGGAUGAAUAGCUAUUGCCCGGUUGUAAAAUUAUCGCAAUUUUACGUUACAAAAUACCCUAAAGGAUUGAUUGUAAACAUCGUUUGACGUGUUUCUACAAACGGUAAUGGAACUUUGAACAUUUCGUCUAUGGAUUUGCGUCCACGCCACAUGGCAUUGUAAAGUGUUCUGGAUGGGUCAACAAAACGGACGUAUUUGGACAUAAAUGAUGGACUUUGCAGAACAAAUGAACAUUUUUUGUGGAAGUGGGUGCCCAUCCGAGUGCAUUCCGCCGAAGAUCAGCAAAGGCCUUUAAAUCAUCUUCCAAUGAGCAGACUUCCAUCCACAGCAGUGUUUUGUCAUCUCUCCAAUUAAGCCAUGGACAAGUGGACGUGCAGUUGGAGAUGGUCGCGGACUAAUUCCUCAGAACAAGAGACAGUUUGCUAUCCACGAGUCAGCAUGAACAACUCUAAUAAUGGAUGAUUAACACUGACGUGCAUGAACUCCUUGAUUAGUUCCGAGCAGAAAGAUGUCGUAUGGUUUUUACUAAUGUAAUGCAUUUCAUAAUGCAGACCCAAUGCUGGCCUUGAAUUAAUCCCUGAGUUCUCAAAAGCAGAGCUUGUAGCAAGCAGCAAGUGUAAACUGGGGCCACAAUAGAUUUUCAAUGGUCUCAAUAAACAGAAAGAAAAAACACUACAUUGCUCCAUUUUCUCGUCUUUUCAUGUUUCUCUCUCUUUCUAUUUCUUGAAAUUGCUUAAUAUGAGUACGAAUUCAUGUUUCUAACUCCAAAUAACGCAAAAAGAGCCGUAGGGAAAAGAGAAACAAAAACAAAGUGUAUCUCUGUCAGAAUGGAAGAAAGGAAAACAAAGGCUUGAUUAGCAUUAAUAGAAGGAGGAUUAAUCCAGGAGUCUUUAAUACAGGGAAGGAUCUUAUUAUAAUAACCAGAGAAAGAGAGAAAGACCAUUCCUCUGUAUGCCUCUUAAGCCUGUGGAUUAAAUGACCUUCGGUGGCAGGAGAAACAAUUAGUCUUUUAAAAGCUUGUUUAGGAGGAGCGUCUGACGCUCCAUUACUGUGCUGUAAGCUGUUUAAUAGGUGGCUGGGACAGGUCUUUAAGAUCCUAAUUCACAAUCAAGACCACUAAUGAUUUGGGCCAGUCGUCUGCGGCCUCGCGGCUUCUUAGGGUCUGUUGCUCAGGAG
rnacentral:lncRNA from 1 species